AGAAAAGGAUAAUCUGAAUUUGCAAAUUAGGCAGAAUGAAUUGAUUAUAAUUUAUCUUUCAACUUGCCUAACAUUAGUACAUAAUGUCCUCCAAUUUGUACCAAAAUUCAAUAUGAAUUACAAAGAUUCUGGAUGUGCUCUAAUGUUUUUGAAAUAUGUGUUUUCAAUCUUAAUAAUUUAAGAUGAGCUACAAUGUAGAAGAUGCAUAUCUCAAAUUAUAGUCCUGAAAGCUUCUUUGAAAAUUUUUAUGAAAUUCAGAAUCUGAUUUUGUAUAAAAGCUUAAACUUAAUUUAAAAAUGCUUCUAUCGUUGCAUUUUUGUAAGUUUCAUUAUAUGCUUCAAUGAUUGCAUCAUUUUGGGGAAUAACUCAAUAUGAUUCCUAGAUGAAAACUACGGUU
rnacentral:lncRNA from 1 species